UACGUAGGUGGCAAGCGUUAUCCGGAUUUAUUGGGCGUAAAGCGAGCGCAGGCGGUUGCUUAGGUCUGAUGUGAAAGCCUUCGGCUUAACCGAAGAAGUGCAUCGGAAACCGGGCGACUUGAGUGCAGAAGAGGACAGUGGAACUCCAUGUGUAGCGGUGGAAUGCGUAGAUAUAUGGAAGAACACCAGUGGCGAAAGCGGCUCUCUGGUCUGUAACUGACGCUGAGGUUCGAAAGCGUGGGUAGCAAACAGG
rnacentral:rRNA from 1 species